GGCCUCAAAUCUUUUAAAAGUUAACUUUCGGGAAAGAUGGCGGAACAGGCUACCAAGUCCGUGCUGUUUGUGUGUCUGGGUAACAUUUGUCGAUCACCCAUUGCAGAAGCAGUUUUCAGGAAACUUGUAACUGAUCAAAACAUCUCAGAGAAUUGGAGGGUAGACAGCGCGGCGACUUCCGGGUAUGAGAUAGGGAACGCCCCUGACUACCGAGGGCAGAACUGCAUGAAGAGGCACGGCAUCCCCAUGAGCCACGUUGCCCGGCAGAUUACCAAAGAAGAUUUUACCACAUUUGAUUAUAUACUAUGUAUGGAUGAAAGCAAUCUGAGAGAUUUGAAUAGAAAAAGUAAUCAAGUUAAAACCUGCAAAGCUAAAAUUGAACUACUUGGGAGCUAUGAUCCACAAAAACAACUUAUUAUUGAAGAUCCCUAUCAUGGGAAUGACUGACUUUGAGACGGUGUACCAGCAAUGUGUCAGGUGCUGCAGAGCGUUCUUGGAGAAGGCCGACUGAGGCAGGUUCAUGCCCUGCUGUGGCCAGCCUGACUAGACCCCACCCUGAGGUCCUGCAUUCUCAGUCAGUGUGUAAUCAUGUUCCAGAGCCCAAAUGCCCAGCUCUUUGUUCAGCUGACUUACUGUUUCUUACCUUAAAAAAUAUUGUAGAUGGAAAUCAGUUAUGUUUGGCAGAAGAAUCAAUAAAAUUAUUUGAUUCUGACAGUUUA